CAUCAUUCUCAUCACCAUCGUUUCUUCCGCUUCCCCUGCUGUGAUGCUAGCUGCUGUCCCACACGCUUUAUUCAUGAUGUCACUAAUGGUGUCGGUGAGUGGUCAAGACGAGGAGUCUACAGUUGCCGAGAGACCUUACACGGUCUUACAGAAACAAAAUUUAGUCGCGCUGGGGAGCGUCGUCGGUGUCCUGCUGCUGCUGCUGAUCAUCAUGGCCGUGUGCGUCUACAAGCCUCUACCCAGGCGCUGAGCGUGUCCUCACGGGCGGAGACUCGACAUCAAACACCACCUAAUGGGCCACUCAGUGGUGAUCAAAUCCACCCAGCCAGAGAAAGGUGGGCCUUCGAGUGGCUCUACCUCUUGUCCAUUUAUUUAUUACAGGCAACUGGAUCCCACCUCAUGCAAUAUACAGUUUGCAAAUUAUGCUUGUAGAAAUUCAGUGUUUGAGUUAUAUAUUUCUGUUAUUUAUUUUAAGUGAAGACUUAUGUAAAUAAAUGUUUUGGGUGUUUUCAACACUACUUGA